GCAGUCGAGCGGACAGAUGGGAGCUUGCUCCCUGAUGUUAGCGGCGGACGGGUGAGUAACACGUGGGUAACCUGCCUGUAAGACUGGGAUAACUCCGGGAAACCGGGGCUAAUACCGGAUGCUUGUUUGAACCGCAUGGUUCAAACAUAAAAGGUGGCUUCGGCUACCACUUACAGAUGGACCCGCGGCGCAUUAGCUAGUUGGUGAGGUAACGGCUCACCAAGGCAACGAUGCGUAGCCGACCUGAGAGGGUGAUCGGCCACACUGGGACUGAGACACGGCCCAGACUCCUACGGGAGGCAGCAGUAGGGAAUCUUCCGCAAUGGACGAAAGUCUGACGGAGCAACGCCGCGUGAGUGAUGAAGGUUUUCGGAUCGUAAAGCUCUGUUGUUAGGGAAGAACAAGUACCGUUCGAAUAGGGCGGUACCUUGACGGUACCUAACCAGAAAGCCACGGCUAACUACGUGCCAGCAGCCGCGGUAAUACGUAGGUGGCAAGCGUUGUCCGGAAUUAUUGGGCGUAAAGGGCUCGCAGGCGGUUCCUUAAGUCUGAUGUGAAAGCCCCCGGCUCAACCGGGGAGGGUCAUUGGAAACUGGGGAACUUGAGU
rnacentral:rRNA from 1 species